GGGGGUGUACUGGUUUCGACGGGGACAUCAGAAGUACGAGCAGCCAUUCGCAGAUCACUGGGCCUGCGUCAUCAACCUGGUAAAUUAAAUUAAACGCAGACGAAAAUAAUAAUAAUUUCGCAUUUGCUGCCUAAUUAGGUAGCUGUCUCACCUUAGUGACCCGUAGCUAGGGCUGAGGCACCAAAUUAAACGGGGAACUUCACUUCCAAAGCUUUGAGGGAGAGGAAGACACUAUGAAGCUACUAAAGUCUACAGCCUGUCGUUAGGCGUUAGAUGGAGGGAAUGUUAAAAUAGCGACUGUAAUGGGAGAUACUCGGAUGGAUGGGUUUUCGGACAGGGGUUCGACUCCCCUCACCUCCAUUA
rnacentral:tmRNA from 1 species